AGGUCGUUCCACUACCCCCAAGCUGUUGAAAGAAGUUUGGUGCUUGCGUAAAGGGCUCUUGUCUUCCUCACUGACUCCCACAAGCUGCUAGUCUGAAAGUUAGUCCGGUCCUGAGGGGUCCUGCAGUUCACGGAUUCCCAGGUUUUCACCAGGUGCUGAAAACAUCACUUCAGAGCGGGCUUCCCCAUCAGGACCAAGUGUUCCCUGAUAGCUUUCGUGAAAUGGGCAAAUUCUACUCUCUGCCAGAGUUCCAGGAUGGAAGGGGAUGACUCACAAAAGGAGCCCCCUAGGGGUAAAUACUGCCCACAGGGAUCAGAGCAUCUGCCCCUUCAAAUGGAGGCGCUUCUACCAGAAGUUCAAAGAGGAUCCACAGAGUAGAACAUAGAGGAUGAAAAUGGCAACUCUUCUGGUCUGUGAAUCAAAAGACAGAGGGCAGAGGGUCUUGUCUUGUUCAGCUUUGUCUCCCCAGUGCUGGAGCAUAACAUCAUGAUGGUUUCUUAAGUGAACUAUGAAUAAAUGAAGGUCAGUGAGUGAGGACAAAGUCCUAUGAUCUCAGAUCUCAACUUUGGAACUUCGGUUUUGACGUCUACAGCCUGUGCAACUAACACAGACUUACCGUGGGACUCAAAUACAUUCAAAUCAACAUCUAAGAACUGAUCUUUGGAGCCAGACACCUCACCUUGAACCCCAGAUCUACUACAUCCCAGUUCUGUGGUCUCAGGCAAGUUUUCCCUAACCUAUUUGUGUUUCUGUUUUGUUCCUGUAUCUGUAUAAUGAGGAUAAAAAUCUCACCUACUUUGGAGGAUUACAAAGGUUGUUAAUGAGGAUUAAAUUGGAUAAAACAUGUAAAGCAUUCAAAAUGGUGCCUGGCACAGAGGAAGUGCUCAUUACCUGCCAGCUAUUAUUAUUCUUCUUAUCUGAGGUUCUCAUUGGUACAUUUAUAUGAGCACAGUGUGAGUUAAGAUUAUAAACUCCUGACAGCUGAAAUCAUGUAUCUUCUUGUGAUAUUCCUUGAAGCUUUUAGCUCAGCGUCUGGCUCCCUAUAACUAUGGGGAAUUACUAUAAAUAAUAGUAACGGGAAUAGUGAUGGUGGCAGCUGGUGUGGGGGGAGGUAUAAUUACCUGUAAUCUUGAGAAAAGUUGGGGCACCAUUUGGUUAGAAUCACAAAAUCGACCAUGUGUUGCCUGUUGUCCGCAUAUUUCAGGGCCUGACUCUGGAUCAUUUAUUAAUCACUGACUGACAGGAAACAGACAGACACUCUGAGUUAUUGGUCAUCUCAUUUGUUAUAUUCCCGGAGCAAUCUGGCUGAUCCCAUGUGACCCACUGCUAUGGGCAGCAGGCCCUGAACACUGAAGCCAGAGUUCAUCUGAAGCUUGAGUUGGAAUGGACCCAGGGAGUUGGGUCUGAACCCAAGGGGGGACGUUUGAACGAACAGUAACUUGGCAGACUACAUUCAUCUUCCUGUGAUGGAUCCCUCAUUGGCAGAGGCCAUUGGUGACAUUGAAUGGAGUGUCCCAUAAAUUUAACCUUC